CACCCACCUGAACUUUCAAGUAGUAGCCAUAACACCCCCCUUGAACUUUAAUUUUAGCCGAUAUACUUCUUAAACUUUAGACACCUGCCAAAUCAAUACAUCUGUUAUUCUUCUAUUAAUAAACUAACGGAGAAACUCACGUGAGAGGCACUUGGGAAUAAAAACCAAAGCUGAACAGCCUGAACCAAUGAGAGAGAGGGAGAAAGUUUGGGCUCUGUUUAGAGAGAGAGAGAGAGAGAGGGGAGAUGAUCCAACCAGAAGUCCAUAACCACCUCGGUAUCCUCUCUCCGGUGCCAGAGUUCCACCAUCGUCUCACUGACUGUUCACAGCUACCAUGGAUAAAUGUCUACUGUCACUUCCUACAAAUUCAUCCGAUGAGGAUGGGAAUUCAAGGCCUAGGUUCCAUGAGUUUAACCAACACACUGGCAUGAAGAAUGUAUAGCUAACAGAUGGACUCAAAUUUGUAUCACAUGUAGUCUUCAAGGAGGCACUAAAGGAGAGGUGUAUUACAGAAAAUCAUGAUUAGGAAUAAGUGAAGAGUAACAACUAGAUGUAAAAAAAAUUUCUAAUAAAAAAAAAGUGGUUGGAAGAUAGGUGCAUCCCAAACACAAAUGGGUGUUAUUUUUUUGAAACAAUUUACUAUUUGUAAACGCUCAUUGUUUUAAGAACAAAAUUUCUCUCUAAACUAGUUUGGAAAGAAACUUUUCAAACUUCUUAUAUAUCUUUUUUUUUUUU